rnacentral:rRNA from 1 species
GACGUAGGGCGCGAGCGUUGUCCGGAUUUAUUGGGCGUAAAGAGCUCGUAGGCGGCUUGUCGCGUCGACUGUGAAAACCCGCGGCUCAACUGCGGGCCUGCAGCCGAUACGGGCAGGCUAGAGUUCGGUAGGGGAGUCUGGAAUUCCUGGUGUAGCGGUGAAAUGCGCAGAUAUCAGGAGGAACACCGAUGGCGAAGGCAGGUCUCUGGGCAUUAACUGACGCUGAGGAGCGAAAGCAUGGGGAGCGAACAGG